GAGCUUCUUCCCGGUGGCUUUCGGGUUUUUGGGCUCGCUGGCAAACAUCCCCCUGCUGAGCCAGCUCCUGCAGAAAAUGGGGGACAGCGGCUCCAUGGUGUGACCUGACCAGUUCUGGGCCGAGUGGCUGCGAUGGGACAGGGUGAGAGAGCCCCAGGUCCGGCUGUCCCCAAGAGCUGGUGACUCUCUUGUCCCCAGGACCCUCGGAGGUGGCCAGAGCCACCCCCCAGCAGGGACAGUGUCCCCUCACUGUCCCAUGGAGCUCCUGAGCCAGGCUCCGGGCUCCAAGGGCUGUACCAGCCUGGAUUCUGGAAUUCUUGUUGUUAUUUAAUUCUUUUCUGUGAAAGAUUUAAUUUAAUAAAAAAUAUAUCUGAGA